UCGUGUAUUCCACAAACCCAUAUACAGAGACACGUAAGAUUCUUGAAAGGAUGCGGUCAUUUGUGUUUGCACAUUUAAUGGGCUGCAAGUUGGAUGAGUGUGCCCGACGUGCUGGCUUCCUGCAUCACCUCACUGUGAUGCUGUUGUCUCCUGCUGGGCCAGACUCUCCUUCCCCUUCCUUCCCCUCCUAGGGCAGGCCAGGAGGUGCUGCAGGCAGGGAGCGCAGGCAGAAGGGGGCACGCGCCAUCUCACACUGCUCCCAUGUGCCAGAGCAGUGCCCGCUCCCCCAGCGAUGCUCUGGUUUCCUGCAGAUAAUGCUGUACAGAGGAAUAAAGGAGGCAGCACAAAGCAUGAUUAAUGCACCCACUCCUCAAUAAUUAUGCAUAAUUAAUCACAGAGACAACCCACCUCAGCCCGGCAGGACCUCACCCGGGCUGGGCACGGCCCGCAGGACGGCACCAUGGCUGGGCCCCAGACAGGGCCUGGCCCCAUACCAUGAGCCGACGUCUCGGUGCCGCUGGGCGCUGUGGCCAGCACACCUGCUGGGCUGGGCCACGAGGUAGGGGAAGAGGGAGAGGUAAGAAAAGUCACCGAGUAAUCUGAUAAAACAGGUAUGUCAUAGGCGGGGGGAGGCCAGAGAGAAAGGUGCAGGGAGGAACCACAGGAGGGGAGGUUCAGAAGGGCACAGCACUUCCAGUCAGCCCUGGCCAGGGGGCAGGAACAGAAGCGUGAGACUUGGUGGCCUCCGAAGAGCCUCCCAGGACCAGUGCUGCACCCCACAGUGGCAGUAUCUGGCCCCAUCACCAUGAUGAACACCUUGAACAUGAACAUGAACACCUUUCCUGGCAUGCCCAAGGGCAUCCUGUGGGCCCAAUUGCCCGCAGCAACACCCGUGCAGUUCCCUGGGAGCAUGUCCCAAACACUGCCUUCCCGGGGCAGGAAACUUUCUAAGGUGGUAGGGCACUGCCUCGCACAGCAGCUGCAUGAAGCCAUAAAACAGAGCUGGUGUGCGAGCUCAGGGAAUUGAGUAAAGGGAGACUGCAGAGGUAACCCAGCAUUACUGAAUGCAGCGGGCCCAGGGGAUCACUUCAGAUGCUCCAGAGAUUCCAGUAAUAAGCUCAGCGAGUAACGUGAAAGUGACUACAGAGCUGGAGGAGCCCCGAGAGGC